GUAAAAAUGAAAUGCUUUCGUUGUACAUUUCAACAACAGUGUGGUUCAUGACACUACACAAUGCAGACUCCAUGUGUUUCUUGUGAUGUGAACGAUUGCAACGAAUAAGGUAUCUGCCACGUUUCCUGUUUGUAACCGAAAACGUCGAAAGACGAUAAAAAUAGCAGCAACACUUGUGCACUUCUUGCUGAACAUGGUCACGUACAGGUGAAAGGUUUUAUCAGACAAGGAUUUAUUGGACAUUUGACACUAUUAAAUCAUGGGGACAGUAACAUCUCAGUGUGCAAGUCAACAUGUUGCUAUUGGUCUGACAUCGAUUGCACUGCUGAUAUCUGUGUGCUUAAAUGUUGCAUUCUAUUUAAUAAGAAGAAAGGGAAAAAAAUAUGCAGUUAAUGAAAACAUGUUGGAAUAUGAAGAUGAGCCAUUACAUCAAGAUUCACUUCGGUCUUACAGGUUUGAGGAUGAUGAGAUGGAAAGACAAGAAAAUCCGAUUUAUGGAAAUAUAUGUUUAGAGGGAGGAGGAGCUUUUGAAAUCUCUCAGGAGGUGUGCUAUGAACAAAUGUCACAUGCAAACACAGCAAAGCAGGGAUUAAAGGUCCAGCCAGGGGACGUGUCCUAUGCCUCUCUUGAUCUGACUGCCAAUAAAAAGCGUAGGAAGAAGAGAAAAUACCAAAAACAGGCUCAGACUCACCAGGCCCAGACACAUCCUCAACCUGCAUCCCAGCAGAUCUGCAUGGACCAGGAUGACGAGCCUGAUGUCACCCUCCCGUCCCGGAGCAGCAGCCUCCUGAUUUCACGUCACAGCAUCUACCUCAACAGUCAUCAAAAAUUGAUUCAUCAAGAAGAGAGGGAGAGGGAGAGGGAGAGAGAGAGGGAGAGAGAGAGGGAGAGAGAGAUGGAAAUUGAAAGAGAAAGAGAAAGAGAUGAUAAUGUAGAGAGAGAGUUUGAUAUGCACAGAAAUGUGCAUGAAGGCUUUGAUCACUCCCUCGGUAGAUCAAGACAAAGUCUAAAACUGGACAGUUAACAGUUAGAAAGUAAAAAAAAAACAACAACAAAAAAAACUUUAGCGUCUUACUUGUAAAAACACAGGAUACUGUAGGGUGGGGCUGUCAGCGACUGUGAUAUUUUAAGCUCAUCUCUACCCCAAAUCAUAAUUUCUGUGCAUUCAAAAGCAUGCAGAGGAGACCAGCUAUCUGAUCUUGUGUCCAAUCGAGACACAUAUAAAGGAGUUCACCACUUUAAAUCUGCUUUCUUGUUUCUUGCAUUUGAAG
ensembl:lncRNA